UACAGGGGGGCAAGCGUUAUUCGGAAUUAUUGGGCGUAAAGGGCGCGUAGGCGGCUUUGCAAGUGACGGGUGAAAUCCCUCGGCUUAACCGAGGAACUGCCUGUCAAACUGCAUGGCUUGAGACCGGGAGAGGUGAGUGGAAUUCCCAGUGUAGCGGUGAAAUGCGUAGAUAUUGGGAGGAACACCAGUGGCGAAGGCGGCUCACUGGACCGGUACUGACGCUGAUGCGCGAAAGCGUGGGGAGCAAACAGG
rnacentral:rRNA from 1 species